rnacentral:rRNA from 1 species
GCUUACGGCCAUACCAGCCUGGGUACGCCCGAUCUCGUCUGAUCUUGGAAGCUAAGCAGGGUCGGGCCUGGUUAGUACUUGGAUGGGAGACCGCCUGGGAAUACCAGGUGCUGUAAGCA